ensembl:lncRNA
CGCGGCCCCGGGCCGUGCGCAGCCGGGCCGGCCAGGUUAGGGGGUGGCGGGGCCGACCGCCGCGGGUGCUCAGGCGGUGGCUGGCGAAGCUCCCGCGUCCUCUCGGAGCCCUUGCCGCCUUGGCCCCCCCAGGACCCCCGCCGCAGAAGCCCCGGCCCCUGGCCGCACCCCCGUCCGCGCCGGACCGUCCGUUUCACGGGAGCGGGGUUUGGUGCGCCUUGUUCAGCCCUGGGCCUGGCGCUUCUUCGCCCCGCCCUACGCUGAUCUCAGACCUGGGCGGAAUGAAUGACUGUCGGGGACCCCCCGCCCCCGCCCCCGCCGGCCGGUGGAGGCGCCUGUCCAGAGGGGCAUCGGAGCCCGGCUCUAGACUCCUGGGGAGCCGAUCUCGUUGCUGGGCUGAGCCUGUCCUGCACUGUAGGUAGGGCAGGCGUCCCCAGCUUCUGCGACCCAGUGCCUGAUGACGGGAGGUGGAGCCGAUGUAAGAAUAACAGAAAGAAAGUGCAGCGUGAAAGGAAUGCGCUUGAACCAUCCCCCGCCCCGAGGAAAAACUGUCUUCCACGGAAGGGUCCCUGGCGCCCAGGAUGCUGGGGACCACUGUCGCAGCGUGAUGGCUGACGUUCCUUCCGGGUUCCUCCACGUCGUGAUGGCAGUUCCCCGAGGCGGGGUCGCAAAGAGUUGGACAUGAGUGAAGUGACUUAGCACACACAUGGACAUCGUGCUUCUGAAAAUGAAGACUUUAACAAAAUGGAGAGGACGGGCUUUCAGUGGUGGGAGAAUUUUACUCCCCCUGCCCGAGUCGCACCGAGGUCCAGUUGCUCAGUCACUUCCUCCUGCGCGGCUCCACGGACUGCAGGACGCCAGGAAUCCCCUUCCUUCACUGUCUUCCAGUCCGCUCAGAUUCAUGUCCAUUGAGUCGGCGAUGCCUUCCAACCAGCUCACCCUCUGCUGCCCCCUUCUCCUGCCUUCCAUCUUGCCCGGCAUCGGGGGCUUUUCCAAUGAGUUGGCUCUUCACCCCAGAUGGCC